CUUAGCGCCUGAAAUUAGGCCACUAAACUGCGCCAACGCGCUGGAAACCUCUGUCAUAUGCGUAAAUUUAAUUAUUUGCAUGUUGUACCAUUUAUCACACAGUCCCAUUAAUUGUGAAAUUAUUUUAAGCAAGUUUGUUUGUAAAUUAAAUAUUGCUCAUUCAAGUUUUUGCGUUACGAAACGCUGCUGUAUCAAAAAAAGUAUUAUUUUCGAAUUUGUAAGUGCAUAAUAAAUACGUAUAUGUAUACUUGUAUAAUAUUUGUCAUUGUUGUAAGGCAUUGCACUAAUUUUUAAAAUUUAUUCUAUGUAUAAAUAUUUACUUUAAACCAUAAAAUAUAUGUAUUUGAGCAGCUGGCCGCCUGAAGGUAUGCUACUUAGUGUUAAUGUGCUAAUUAUGAAAUAUGUUUGAAACAAAAGCAUGCCUAAAGGUAUGCUACCAGAGCCUAAAGGUAUGCUACGAAGAUUUGUGCUAAUUACGAAAUAUAUUUGUAACAAAAGCGUGCUUUGUUGUAAUUUAGAAAAUCACUCACAUACUUUUACUCAAUUAAUUUCUCUUAAGCAGCCAGCUGUGCCUUACUAACAUCAGCUUAAAUACAUAAAUAAACAUACAAACGAUUAGUUAUAUUUUUUAGUUGUACUUAGUUUCAUUACAAAAUAUUUUCGUUAAAAUUUUAAUGUGCUCCAAAAUCAAUACCUUAAUAGCUAAUAUAGUUUAUUGAUAACAUAAAACAGUGAAACUGUAAUUCAUGCUGUUACAUGUAAUUUACAUAGCUUUUAAGUCCAUAUAAAUACCUGUAUACCGUACUUAAGCAAUACCGUAUUCAUUAAUGGAUAAGACUACAAUAUCGUAUACUUUGUCUUGCAUAUAUCGUCCGUUAUUUCAACAUAUCAUAAUUAUAAGUACAUAUAUUUGAAUAUUUCUGUUCUGUAAUAGAAUAUAAUUUCUUCAUUUCCUGUAUGUAUUUAACUGUAAACUCUAAUUGCGUUAUGAAUCGAAAUUUGUUGGUUGAAAUACAAGUCAAAUAUAUUAUUGUUAAACUACAUA